rnacentral:rRNA from 1 species
GACGAACGCUGGCGGCGUGCCUAAUACAUGCAAGCAGGAUGCAGUUGCGACCGGGUGAGUAACGCGUAGGUCACUACCUAUUAGAGGGGGAUAACUAUUGGAAACGAUAGCUAAUACCGCAUACUAGUAGAUGGACCUGCGUUGUAUUAGCUAGUAGGUAGGGUAAUGGCGUACCUAGGCAACGAUACAUAGCCGACCUUGGAGGGGUAUAGGCCGGGCUGAGACUGAAAGAAGGCCGAGACUCCUACGGAAGGAAGCAGUAGGGAGUAUUCGGCAAUGGGGGGAACCCUGACCGAGCGACGCGGCAAGAGUGAAGAAGGUUUUCGGAUGGUAGAGCUCUGUUGUUAAGGAGGCGGAACUUAACAAGAAAGGGACGGCUAACUACGUGCCGGCAGCCGCGGUAAUUC